UUACUAGCACUUUUAAUGUACCAUCGCAUGUCUGGGGUCAGAUACUAGUAAUACCCAGCUGCAGGUCAGGCUGAGUUUCCAUACGACCUCAAACACUAGUGAUUAGGUGAAAGCUUAAUACCUUUAGAGUCUUGUAAACCCUCUGUCUCAUAUAUUACAUCAGGCAUUCAUGAAAGGGAAGACAGAAUAAAUUAGUCAAUGUAAAAUGUAUCUGGAAGCCUAAGAUAAUCCUAUAAUUCCCAAUAUUAUCCCUAAUAACGUGACCCUAGAACCGGUGAUGAAAUGGAGCAACGAGGUCAUUGCAUGCCAGGGUUCAGAUAAGAUCUUCUGUGGAUUCUUUCCUGCAAAAUCUACCCAAAAGAAGUGGAAAGUAAUUUGAAAAAACUCUUGAAAGCAGUCUUUAGCCUGAAGGGAUUAGGAGCUCACAGAUGAAGAUGAUGUUCCUCAGUCUCCCUGAAAGAAAAUCUUUGCUGAGACAGCCUCAAAUCACGGCAAAGAAAUCAAUAUAAUUCAGGAACCUGGGGUCUGUUUUAUCAAUUCCCAGACACAAGGCAGCAGAUAUUGGGUGUGAUUAAGAAAUGGUGCAAGGGGACUUUAAAUGGACCCUGCGUGGGCAGCUGAUUGAAAAAGCUUCUGGAAAGGACAUGGCAUCUGGGCUUGGUUUCUGGGAAAAGGAGAGCAGCUUUUUGGAGUUCCCUUUAUCUUCCUCCCAGAGCCACAGCAAAGGCGGUGAAGGUGUGAGGUGGCUCUGAGAAGGGAUCACAGCCGUGCAGGGGUCCUCAGAUGGAGGGCUUGCACCCUGGCCUGGUGAGCCACCUGCUUGUGGCUCCUGUGUCCUCUGGCCUGUGUGGUGUCAGCUCUGCAGCAGAGGCCUCUUCAUGACUGCGGUGCUUUUUUCUUUUUGUGUAGGACAGGUACCAUCAUCAGGAGCUGACAGAUAGAAAGGGAAAGGGGGAAGUGGUUGGUGUGAAGGCUUAGCUGAUGUUCAGCCCAUCCUGUGCCCACAGCUGUGUGUGGAGGAGAGGGGCGCCUGUGACCAUCUGGUUCUUGGGAUCCUGGAUGGCUGUCCCAGCAGCUGGGACAACAGCAGUCUGAUGGGCAGGCCACCAAAAGUGCGGUGGCACAUGACCUGAGCUGAGAGGGGACACUCUAAAACCAAGAAAAACUUCUUUCUUGUUUUCUCUUUGCAGACAGAAGAGAGGUACCAGAGCAGAAUUUGAUCCCAAGGUGUCUACUUACAAAUUAUUGGUGCUGGUGAUGUCUGGGGCUUAGUACCACGUAGUCUUCCUUGAAACCACUCCCUGUUUGUUCUUCCCAUAGGAUCCUAGGAGGAAGGAUUUUGCCACUAAAACCUUGGGAAAAAAGGAACCUUCUUCCCCAUUGCAAGGCUGGUAUUGUUUGGGAUGCCCUGCUGGGCUUCUGAAGAGAAGUGAUGACAGACACCCUGCGACAGACGUAAAAACCAGCUCUGGAAUCUGAACAGCAAAUCAAGCAUGUGAGCAAAAGCUAUACUGACUUGUGUGUGUCUUCAUCAUCGCCUGCCAGCUUGAGAACAGGCUAUGCAAGUAUAGCACAUUAAAUGCUUCUUGGCUGCUUUGAAUAACUGAAGAGAAAUGUGAAAGGGGAAGAAAUGGCAAAGGGGAAUGAGAGAGAGGCCCAGAUCUCAGCCUGACAACAGCAGUCUCUUGAAAGAGGCACUGUGGAAUAAUUUCCUGGGAUGUGGCGUCCAGCUGUGUGCGUACGGUGUAUGUCAACAAUAAGGGACACAGGUUUUGGCUCUGAGUCCAGUGAAGUAUUUCUAAGCACGCUUAACUCCAGGCACAUGACUACUCCAGUUAACAUUUGUAAGACUUUUUGCAGGCUUAAAGAGCGUCCGAAUGUGAAGUCGUAUAGAUGGGUGUGUUAUUUGGAAUUGGACUAAUCUGAACCAAAAUGCUUUCAAGCAGUGGCACUAUGCAUCGUGGUGAUGGGCCAAGACACCUCAUGCCCAGAUGAAGUCAUCAUCCUACUCCUACUUCUGCUGUGACAACUUGCUUCAACUGCCAAAAACCUUCGACACAGCAAAUGGUCCCAGUCUCCUCAACCCAGAGAUGUGAAGAGUUUCCCUCAUGGCUCCAGCUGGUGGUGGUUUAAGCCCAGGAGAGAAAUUUCAGCAUCAUGCCAAUGCAAGAGUUUUGUUAUCCCUCCUCUUGGGAAAAAGGCCACAGAGAUGAGGACUGAGAUGUGGAAGAACACUUUCCCAGGCAGGGCAGCAGCCCUGGUCGUGGCUCUCCUGUGGUUCCCCUCCCAGCUUCACCAGAGACCUCUCGGAUACCAGUCCAGCUGACAAAAAGGCUACUAACAUUUUCCUGAGGAAGGAACACAUCAUACAAGGGAAGGAAAAACAAUGAAUUCAAGAGCAUUGAGCUACUUAAAAUCUUCUGAAAUCCGGCUGUCGAACAGAACAAGAGGCACCAGUGCAGCUACAGACUUUCACAUGGUUUGAAUUGAAGCAGUCGUCUUUCCUCCGCUCUCCCUGCAGCAUCAAGGAGUGACAGUGUUGGUGGACUAGCAGGGAAGUACUGAACUGAAAUGCACAGUAAUUGUGCUCUAUGAUUUUUUAAAACGAAAAUGUGGCUAUUUUCAGUCAGUCCAGGACUGAAGUGAAAUAUUCAGUUAGGAAUAAGCCUUACAAAUACAAAAAUAUAAAGGAGACCAUAGCAUGCACUGGAGAUGAUAGCCUUUUGUUGGGAUUCUGCAAUAUUGUGGUUCUGUGAAAAGUGUGAAAUUUGUGACGGUCGCAGUAAAGUCAUGGAAUCAGUUUAAUGGAAAUUCCUGUCACUGUGGAACAUUUGUAAAAAAAACUCACCAGACUAGGAGUUCCCAUGUGUUGGAAAAUUUAAUUCUUAUGAUGCUCUACUGCCAUUUAUGUUUCCUUAAUGAAUUACCACUCUGCAAAUAAUAAAGCAGCAGUAGGGUAAAAUUCCCUUCAGCCGUAAGAGGGCAAUGGGUACAGAAAUCCAUCAUUCUGGUUACGGUGCUAACUUACAAACGAUGAAAGUAUAAUGAUUUCUUUACAUACACUGUUUGCAUGACCCAACUUUUGUUAAAUGUGUGCUAAACUGUACUGAUAUCACAGUUCCUGAAAUAUAGUAUGUGUGACCCAAAGGCAAGGCUAUCUAUCAGUAGUUUUUCAGAUCUGUGGAUAUUUUGCUUCUGUGGGACUUUGGUGGUCAAUGGCAGUUAUCUCUAUUCCUUUCUUUUGGUCUUUUGCUUAGGGGUUGUGCAGAGCCUCAAACAUUUUAAAAUAAAGUUUAGCAGAGAGAAUCUCUUUUGUAACAGCCACACCGUCUUGCAGCUAUAAUUUGUGAUUAAAAAAAUGUGAGAAAAUCACUCUGCAUAUAAAAUUCCUUGAUAUCACAUCGUUGUCAGUGUUGGCUUCGUGUUACUGUUAUCAGCUUCUUUUCCAGUUUACAGAUUAGCAGAGAUUGUCUUUUCCAGUGACAGUGGCAAGAGGCUGGGUAUGAAACAUGACCAUGUAUGCGUUUAGAAAAACUCAGGGCACAGCUUGUGGAAAUAUGUCACAUUUCUGUGGUGCAGCAGAGUGGGAGGCAGCAAAUCUGGAUCUUAUUACCAGUUUGGCCAUAGUCUUCCUGUGUGAACACUGAGUGAAAUUGAAUCAGCUUCCAGAAUUUAGCUACGCUUGAUAUCUGCACGUAACACGAGAUGGUCUGAAAAAAGCUUCCCAGGGCUUUUUUGUCUUCUCUUCCUUGAUAUACCAGGACCUGCAAAUCGAAGGGAGCAAUAUAAUGUGAAUACGGAGAUGCAAAGCUAUACCCUGAAGUCUACACAGUUGACCUCUUUCUUCCACUGCAGAGAAUUUGGCCCGGUUCCAUUUUAGCGGUGUUUUCAUUUACAUAAAAGAAAAAGAAAAAAGAAGAAGAAAAAAGGCAUACUGAGCUCUCCUAUCUUGUGACAAUGUGAAGAUGGGCC